UACGUAGGGGGCUAGCGUUGUCCGGACUUAUUGGGCGUAAAGAGCUCGUAGGUGGUUCGGUAAGUCGGAUGUGAAAUCUCCAGGCUCAACCUGGAGGGGUCAUUCGAUACUGCCGUGACUAGAGUUCGGUAGAGGAGUGUGGAAUUCCUGGUGGAGCGGUGAAAUGCGCAGAGAUCAGGAGGAACACCCGUAGCGAAGGCGGCACUCUGGGCCGAUACUGACACUGAGGAGCGAAAGCGUGGGGAGCGAACAGG
rnacentral:rRNA from 1 species